UACGUAGGGUGCGAGCGUUAAUCGGAAUUACUGGGCGUAAAGCGUGCGCAGGCGGUUCGGUGUGUCUGAUGUGAAAGCCCCGGGCUCAACCUGGGAAUGGCAUUGGAAACUGGCGAGCUAGAGUGUGGCAGAGGGGGGUGGAAUUCCGCGUGUAGCAGUGAAAUGCGUAGAUAUCAGGAGGAACACCAGCAGCGAAGGCGGCGCUCUGGGCUGGAACUGACGCUGAGGAGCGAAAGCGUGGGUAGCAAACAGG
rnacentral:rRNA from 1 species